rnacentral:rRNA from 1 species
GAUGAACGCUAGCGGCAGGCUUAAUACAUGCAAGUCGAGGGGCAGCACAGAUAGCAAUAUUGGGCGGCGACCGGCAAACGGGUGCGGAACACGUACACAACCUUCCUUUUGGUGGGGGAUAGCCUUUGGAAACGGAGAUUAAUACCCCAUAAGAUAUUGGGACCGCAUGGUUUUGAUAUUAAAGAUUUAUUGCCAGAAGAUGGGUGUGCGUAUGAUUAGGUAGUUGGUGAGGUAAAGGCUCACCAAGCCGACGAUCAUUAACUGGUGUGAGAGCACGACCAGUCACACGGACACUAAGCCACGGGCCCUACUCCUACGGGAGGCAGCAGUAAGGAAUAUUGGUCAAGGGACGGAAGUCUGAACCAGCCAUGCCGGGUGGAGGAUGAAGGGCCUCUGGAUUGUAAACGUCUUUAUAUGGGGCGAAAAAGGGCCAUUCUUGGUCAACUGACGGUACCAUAUGAAUAAGCACCGGCUAACUCCGUGCCAGCCGCCGCAGUAACAC